rnacentral:rRNA from 1 species
UACGGAGGGUGCAAGCGUUGUCCGGAUUUAUUGGGUUUAAAGGGUGCGUAGGCGGCCCGUUAAGUCAGUGGUGAAAGCCUCCAGCUCAACUGGAGAACUGCCAUUGAUACUGACGGGCUUGAGUACAGACGAGGUUGGCGGAAUUGAUAGUGUAGCGGUGAAAUGCAUAGAUACUAUCAAGAACUCCGAUUGCGUAGGCAGCUAACUAGGCUGUAACUGACGCUGAGGCACGAAAGCGUGGGGAGCAAACAGG